CGCGAGUGGAUGCCAACUCCCUAAAACCCCUCUCAGUUCGGACUGGAGUCUGCAACCCGACUCCACGAAGCUGGAUUCGCUAGUAAUCGCGCAUUAGCCACGGCGCGGUGAAUACGUUCCCGGGCCUUGUACACACCGCCCGUCAAGCCAUGGGAGCCGGGGGUACCUGAAGUGCGUAACCGCGAGGAUCGCCCUAGGGUAAAACUGGUGACUGGGGCUAAGUCGUAACAAGGUACC
rnacentral:rRNA from 1 species